rnacentral:rRNA from 1 species
UUCCGUAGGGUGAACCUGCGGAAGGAUCAUUACCGAGUGAGGGCCCUCUGGGUCCAACCUCCCACCCGUGUUUAUUUUACCUUGUUGCUUCGGCGGGCCCGCCUUAACUGGCCGCCGGGGGGCUUACGCCCCCGGGCCCGCGCCCGCCGAAGACACCCUCGAACUCUGUCUGAAGAUUGUAGUCUGAGUGAAAAUAUAAAUUAUUUAAAACUUUCAACAACGGAUCUCUUGGUUCCGGCAUCGAUGAAGAACGCAGCGAAAUGCGAUACGUAAUGUGAAUUGCAAAUUCAGUGAAUCAUCGAGUCUUUGAACGCACAUUGCGCCCCCUGGUAUUCCGGGGGGCAUGCCUGUCCGAGCGUCAUUUCUGCCCUCAAGCACGGCUUGUGUGUUGGGCCCCGUCCUCCGAUCCCGGGGGACGGGCCCGAAAGGCAGCGGCGGCACCGCGUCCGGUCCUCGAGCGUAUGGGGCUUUGUCACCCGCUCUGUAGGCCCGGCCGGCGCUUGCCGAUCAACCCAAAUUUUUAUCCAGGUUGACCUCGGAUCAGG